CGAAUUCUCUCAUCUGUUCUUAGCAUUUUCACGUAACUUUCGUUUUCUCUCAAACUCUCUUUUGUUAUCUCCAAACAGUAGCAUAUGUUCCUUAGAUUUCCUCUCCAUUCAUUUCAUUUUUUCUCAAAUUUCUCAACUCUAAAUCCAUUCGUAGCAUCCCUAAGAAGAUUAAGGACCUUAAAAGGAAGAAGAAUAUUACAAUUUAAAAUGGGUUUUGAAAGGAGGGGAAAGCAUGGUUUCAAUCAAGGUAAAAGGGAAACACUCUCCCUUAUUUUUUUUCCUUCAAAUACUAUUUCAAGCCUCUGCCUUAUGAUUCUAUUGAUUGAUUUAAGGUGGUAAUUCUUGGAUAAAUUGACAAAUUGAGGGUUUAUGGAAGAAACCCAAAUGCAGCAAAGAGGUGAAGAAAAUUCUUCCUUUCUUGUUUCUUUCUUUCCAUCAGUUUAAGCAUAUUUUCAUGGUCUCAAAUGGUAGCUAGGAUGUCCAAUUUAACAAGUUGGAGAAAGAAAGAAAAAAAAGAACUUGAGUGGGAGAAUAGGGCACCAAUUUGGGAAGGUUCUCUUGUUUUCUUUCUUUUCAAUUAUGUUCUAAUAAGUUCCAAUAGAUGUCUAUAAAUGAUUUGAGAAAGAGGUGGAUUAAAAAUUAGGCUCUAGAUAUUGAAAGAGGAAAGUGGAGGAGAAAACCCAAAUUCAGAUUUUUUUUUUUUACUUCAACAGACUAGUUACCCAUCCUUAAAUCAAUUUAAAAUUCAUUAUUAUGGGUGGGAAUGAUGUGAUUGAGGAUCAACAAUAAUAAGAAUUUGAAAUGGAACAUAAGAUACAGAAAAGUUAGGUUUUGAGAAAGAAUUAUUGGGGUUUCCAAAUUUGGAAAUCUUUUAAUGGUUUCAGGAGACUAAAUGUGUUUAAAAGAAGUUAUAUUGAUUUAAAUUGGCUGAAAUAUAGGCUAAUGAAAAGAAAUUAUGAGUAUUGAAACUUAGGUUUCAUAAGUUGCCCAAAUUGGGAAUUUUCUUUUUAACUAAAAGUUUUAAUGAGUUAUUCCAGCUUGUUAGAACUCUUUUACAGGAACUAACUGAAUGUUUGAAUAUGCUGGAAAUUUUAUUAUGUGCAUGCCAUAAGAAAUUCGCAACUUUAGCUAUUUUGGACGAGCAAAGUAGAGGAGUUUAAGUUGUGGUUUCGGUUAAGAAACGAAAAAGAAGGGCUUUUGUUUACUUGAGAUAUUCUAAGGCUAAAUUAAGGAGUGAAGUAAGUGUUUGAAGCAUUAAACUCUAUCUUUCCAUGCGUAUAAUUUAUAAUCAUGUAUAGUAACUAUAGUUGCUACUGCUUGGUUAUAUAUGCGUAUAUAAAUUAAGAGUAUGACUAUUCAUACCCUUUUCAACACAAGUUAAAAAUAAUAAAAAUAAUAAUAAAAUUUCAUUAAGUUGUAUAUGGUUUGGUUAUGUUACAUAUGAUGAGAUUAAUAUGUGUUAAGGCACAAUUUUGAACAGGUAGAUCAACUGAACUUUAUAAUUAUAUGAAAAGUGUUAUGAGGAUGCAUAUGAGUAGCUAAAACAUGCGAGUGUUUUGGGAAUAUUGUGGAUAAAAUGGUUAAAUGACUAUAGGAUUCUGCAAUUUCAUUGAAAUUGUUCUAAUCAUAUAUGAGAUAAGUAAAAGUAUGACUUGGUUGUAUUCAUUGAAAUUAAAGUAUUAUUAUAUUAUUUAUGCUAGUUUAAUUUAAGCAUGAUCUGUAGGAUUGAAUGCAUGAUCAAUUAUUGUAAUAGUUUAUCUGUUUGUAAGAUACAAAAUAGCAACUAUGAAAAUAAAUAUAUGUGCAAAGGAUAUUAAAAUGAAUUAAAUAUGUUAUAUUUUAGUCAACAUAUCUAUCUCUGAGAUGAUGUGAUGAACUUUAAGUUGGUGUAAUUAAGUUUUGAGUCAAACCUAUGGUGACUGUAUACAUUUUAAAUUGAUAGAAAACAAUGAUAUAAUUCAAUAUUGUGUUAAAAGACACCUGAUUAUAUAAUUCUGUCUCAUUUGUUGUUAUUCCUGAUAUUAUGUCUGUGCCUAGCAUAUUAUGUAACUUUGUAGUUUGACCAAAAAUUUGUUAUCUAAUUCGGUGGUUCCGCAUUUAAGUAGAUCAAUAAGUAAACUCAUUUUGGAAAAGAUAUUUAUCUCUUACUACUAUUAUUCUAAUACAGGAUACAAUAAAUAAAUUAGGAAUGUGAAUAGCUAAUAAUUCUUAUUUAAUUUUUCUCUUUAGAGAAAUAAAUUAAUAUGAGAAGAUGGGAUUCAAAGUAAAGUUGUAGUGUGUUAAGCUCUAAUUGAGUCACCUUUGAUAUGUGAUUCUGAAUUAGGUCAUUAUGGAUAUAUUAAUAUGAAAUAAGAAGUCUAAAAUACCAGUGAAGUAAGAUUUAUAAUGUAUAAAUAGAAAUUUAUUUAUUAAAUCAUGAAGACAUGAGAGAGGGUUAAGAAUUACCAUACGUGGUUUAUAAUUAAGGGAAAUGACCUGAGAUUAGUUGUUUUGCCACUUUUGUUACAUUCAAUAGUGGUUCUACCACUUCUUUUAUCUGACAAUUAUGACUUUGUCACUCCUACUAUAUGAAAUUAAAUGGCUUAUCUGUAUCUAAUAAAAGUGGCUCUGCCACUUCUGUUAAAUAAAUAUAGUGACUUCUGAUAUGGUAGCUUUGUAACAAUAGGUUUUCCCUCAAUUCUAAACCCAUCAUAGAAGUUCUAAAUGUGCAAAAAAGGAAGUGAAGUGAAAUUGAAUUGUUAUGAUCCAUUAAACUAGAGAUGUUUUACUCUGUUUAUAAUUGGUUCACUUUGAAUAACAAUGAAGAAUCUGUUAUUCUGCUAUGGGUUAUGGCAAUAAAGGUUAGAAACCAUGUCAAGGGUAUAUAAUUUAUACUUGCUCUGAGAAAUUCUAUGAUAUGGUUUGAGUAUGUGAAUAAUAUUUGACGUGGAAUAGAUGUGUAAGGCCAGUAAAGAGUAGAAAGAUAUGAGAAAAGUAUAUGUUACUAAAUUGUGAAUUCUGAAGUAAUGUGGUACCAACUCCCAAGAAGAAUCGGAAAUUUUAAUGAGUUAUAUUUUGAUACAUGGUAGAUAAUGUAUCAAAGUUUCAGAAAGUCAGUUUUAAGAUAGAUAAGUUGGUUAUGUUAAAUUGUUAUUAAGUAUUUAUUCCAUUGUUUUUAAGAAUGAUGUUGACUGUCUGCAGGUAUUUAGCAUAUGGGAAUUGUAUUAAUGGAUCUUUUACUUGAAGUUUUGGGCAGCCAUCAAGUGAAGAUCAAGUGAAGAUAGGUAUACCUACUGGACACACAGACAGCAUGGCUGUAAAAUUGUUGGGUCAUGUAUAUGAGCAUAAUCACGUAGUUUUACCUUUUCUUUUUAUUAUAUAUUUUUAUGUGCAUAUUUGUGAAAGUAGCAAGAAUAAUAUUCUGAUUUGAAAAUUCAGCUAAUUGAAAAGAGUCUUGUAUUAUAUUCUAGGAUGAAGUAAUGGUGGAUUAAGGUUCGUUAUCAAAGAAAAAAAAAUUACAUUAUGGGAAUGUCUUACAUGGUGAUUACUUGAAAAACAAAUUUUAUAUUUGAAUGUUCUGUAUUAAAAGGUCUUGACAUUGGUUGAAGAAAGUUAAAUAUUUGAGUGUUGGAUUCUAAAAUUUUUUCUUCACGGGUGGUUUUAGGUCUAGUUAUAAAGGAGACAAGUCUAGUUAUGAAGGAGAUUUUGUGAACAUUUUGUUGAG
rnacentral:misc_RNA from 1 species